rnacentral:snoRNA from 1 species
UCCUGCACCCAAAAGUGACUGCCUGCUGUCUUUGCCCUGGUCAUUGAUAGUGUAGGGAGAGGAAUCACUGAAAAAAGUUCCUGUGUUUGAAGGGUCCAGCCAGCCAUCCCCUUCCAAGCCCUGGAACUUUCCUACA